rnacentral:piRNA from 1 species
UACCCAACACGAGGAAAGGCUCUGUAUUC